GUUAUUGUUCAUUUUCAAAAUUUAGGCUUGUCAAGUGAUCUGGAUUGUUCACAUUUGUGUCAUAAUAGUUUAUGUAUAAAUGUAGACCAUAUAAGUUUAGAACCCCAUUUUAUUAACAAUAAUAGACAGUAUUGUUUAAAUUCAAACAUUUGUCAUGGUCAUGUAGGUUUUAGGGACUGUUUGUUAAAUUUGAAAAUUUGAAAUAUUUUUUUUUAAUUUUAUUUUUUGAGGGUAUUAGCUAUUGUAUCCGGAGACACAAUAUUCCCGACCACCGCCACGGGGAGGCUCCCUCUUUAGAUGAUCCUGAAGCUGAUUGUCUCCCCUGCCAUGUUGCUGAAUGACUGGAUCUAGCUGCCCUCUCCUGUAGUCGGACUUUCGAGCGGACUUGGACCUUUUCUUAUGAUCUUUAUGCUGUGCUGCCAGUCUUGAUAGAGCUCUCUUCUUCACUUCAGGAGCUCCAAUACCAACAUCUGGUCAUCUGGCGUCAUCUGAAGAUGAUGUAUCUGGUUCGAACUGAGGAACAUUGAGCGCACCCACCAGUUGUCACCGUCAUCUCCAGAGCACACCUCGGAGUGCUGACUACACUUGGAACAGUCCCCUGAAUAGCACGACACGGUGGCAUCUAACACAUCAGUCUCCGAGUCUGACGAGGCGGUUGAUGCAUGUAUUGUACAGGGUCUAUCUUCGGUGUCCACUGCUACAUUGGAUUGACUUUCCGGUCUUGGUGUUGUCACCAGCUGAGAUACUUUGGUGACGGUCAGUCUUCUGGUCAGAACUGGGGUCACCUCUGUGUUGACAGAUGAUCCUGAAGCUGAUUGUCUCCCCUGCCAUGUUGCUGAAUGACUGGAUCUAGCUGCCCUCUCCUGUAGUCGGACUUUCGAGCGGACUUGGACCUUUUCUUAUGAUCUUUAUGCUGUGCUGCCAGUCUUGAUAGAGCUCUCUUCUUCACUUCAGGAGCUCCAAUACCAACAUCUGGUCAUCUGGCGUCAUCUGAAGAUGAUGUAUCUGGUUCGAACUGAGGAACAUUGAGCGCACCCACCAGUUGUCACCGUCAUCUCCAGAGCACACCUCGGAGUGCUGACUACACUUGGAACAGUCCCCUGAAUAGCACGACACGGUGGCAUCUAACACAUCAGUCUCCGAGUCUGACGAGGCGGUUGAUGCAUGUAUUGUACAGGGUCUAUCUUCGGUGUCCACUGCUACAUUGGAUUGACUUUCCGGUCUUGGUGUUGUCACCAGCUGAGAUACUUUGGUGACGGUCAGUCUUCUGGUCAGAACUGGGGUCACCUCUGUGUUGACAGAUGAUCCUGAAGCUGAUUGUCUCCCCUGCCAUGUUGCUGAAUGACUGGAUCUAGCUGCCCUCUCCUGUAGUCGGACUUUCGAGCGGACUUGGACCUUUUCUUAUGAUCUUUAUGCUGUGCUGCCAGUCUUGAUAGAGCUCUCUUCUUCACUUCAGGAGCUCCAAUACCAACAUCUGGUCAUCUGGCGUCAUCUGAAGAUGAUGUAUCUGGUUCGAACUGAGGAACAUUGAGCGCACCCACCAGUUGUCACCGUCAUCUCCAGAGCACACCUCGGAGUGCUGACUACACUUGGAACAGUCCCCUGAAUAGCACGACACGGUGGCAUCUAACACAUCAGUCUCCGAGUCUGACGAGGCGGUUGAUGCAUGUAUUGUACAGGGUCUAUCUUCGGUGUCCACUGCUACAUUGGAUUGACUUUCCGGUCUUGGUGUUGUCACCAGCUGAGAUACUUUGGUGACGGUCAGUCUUCUGGUCAGAACUGGGGUCACCUCUGUGUUGACAGGUUUGUCCCUUACAUCUUGGAGAACUAGGCCUUUAUUCUUGGGGGUGUGUCCAGGUUUGAAAUGGUUAUUUCUUCUCUUUCUGUCUCCCUUCAUACUUGUAUUGGUCAGUAUUGGUCAGUAGUGGUCAGUGGUGGUCAGUGGUGGUCAGAUGUGUUCGGAGUACAAAACUGAAGUGAAGCUGAACACUGAUCUGGUAAUUGUGAUAUACACAUCAGUGCCUGUUUGAUAAUUGACUUCAAAGGUGUUUUGAGAAACAAUUGAGAGAGGCUAGUAUAUUAUCAUUAAACAGAUAUGCCCAUUAAGCCCCCCUCCCCCACCCCCACCCCUUCCCUGCCUCA